UACAGAGGUCCCAAGCGUUGUUCGGAUUUACUGGGCGUAAAGGGUGCGUAGGUGGUCGGAUAAGUUUGAUGUGAAAUCUCCGGGCUUAACCCGGAAACGGCAUUGAAUACUAUUCGACUCGAGGGUUGGAGGGGGGACUGGAAUACUUGGUGUAGCAGUGAAAUGCGUAGAUAUCAAGUGGAACACCAGUGGCGAAGGCGAGUCCCUAGACAACUCCUGACACUGAGGCACGAAAGCUAGGGGAGCAAACAGG
rnacentral:rRNA from 1 species